GAAACUGAUUAUACUGUGGGGACGAAAGUCUCUGCUUUUAACUAGAUAGCAACUUUCAGCAGUGGAUGUCUAGGCUCGCACAUCGAUGAAGAACGCUGCGAACUGCGAUACGUAAUGCGAAUUGCAGGAUUCAGUGAGUCAUCGAAAUUUUGAACGC
rnacentral:misc_RNA from 1 species